AAAGGGGUGAAUAGAAUAGGGAAUAGGGUCCCAAAUAAGGAGAGAUAUAUAUGUAAAAAACAGGUCCGAUUACGCCUAUUCCUAAUCCUAAAUGGAAUGUAGCGACGGGGGGAUCCAUAUGUAAACAUAGUCUUUAUUUAGAUACGCUCGAAUGACCUUUUCUCAUAAUGAGAAUGUAUAUAAGCCUAUUCCGGUCUGGUCCGG
rnacentral:lncRNA from 1 species